GAUGAAGAACGUAGCAAAAUGCGAUACUUGGUGUGAAUUGCAGAAUCCCGUGAACCAUCGAGUUUUUGAACGCAAGUUGCGCCCGAAGCCUUUUGGCCGAGGGCACGUCUGCCUGGGCGUCACGCAUCGCGUCGCCCCCCACAAUUCUCCGUAAAGGGAACAUGUGUUUUGGGGGCGGAUAUUGGUCUCCCGUGCUCAUGGCGUGGUUGGCCGAAAUAGGAGUCCUUUCGAUGGACGCACGAACUAGUGGUGGUCGUAAAAACCCUCGUCUUUUGUUUCGUGCUGUUGGUCGCAAGGUAAACUCUUUAAAAACCCCAAUGUGUCGUCUCUUGACGACGCUUCGACCGCGACCCCAGGUCAGGCGGGACUACCCGCUGAGUUUAAGCAUAUCCAUAAGCGGAGGA
rnacentral:misc_RNA from 1 species